AUCAGUGUGUUCAGAUCAUGGAUGGAAAGCUUUUAAGGCAAAGAAGACACCCAGAAAUGUUUUUCCACCCCAGGCAUCCGGUCCCAGUCAUCAUCAGUUCUGGUGAUGUCACAUACAUGGUGAGUUCACAACGUCUUAAAAUUGUUUCUGUAAGGUGCAGGGUGCAGUGAAUGGGAAU